GUCCUUUCGUUUGGGUAGAGUUAGGAUUAGUGCUUUGUGUCUCAAACGCUCUCUCCUGCCCUAUGGGUUUCCCACGAAAACGUUUACGAUCGUUGCUUUCUGUGUCAAAACCGUUUACAAACUGAGAAUUGGUGAACUGGUGGCUGGGGGC